GCCAGACUCCUACGGGAGGCAGCAGUGAGGGAUAUUGGGCAAUGGGGGAAACCCUGACCCAGCGACGCCGCGUGAGGGAAGACGGUCUUCGGAUUGUAAACCUCUGUCUUUGGGGACGAAAAAGGACGGUACCCAAGGAGGAAGCUCCGGCUAACUACGUGCCAGCAGCCGCGGUAAUACGUAGGGAGCGAGCGUUGUCCGGAAUUACUGGGUGUAAAGGGAGCGUAGACGGCAUGGCAAGUCAGAUGUGAAAGCCCGGGGCUCAACCCCGGGACUGCAUUUGAAACUGUCAGGCUGGAGUGCAGGGGAGGUAAGUGGAAUUCCUAGUGUAGCGGUGAAAUGCGUAGAUAUUAGGAGGAACACCAGUGGCGAAGGCGGCUUACUGGACUGUAACUGACGUUGAGGCUCGAAAGCGUGGGGAGCAAACAGGAUUAGAUACCCUCGUA
rnacentral:rRNA from 1 species